UCCGUAGGUGAACCUGCGGAAGGAUCAUUAUCGAAACCCCAAAGUCCAGGGGGCUUAUCGAGGGAGGCAGAGGACCUCCGCGAAUUCAAGGAGGGCAGGACUCCGCUAGCAGGGCGGCUGCGGCCCCUUGGCCGUCCUCGCGUAAGGUUGGGCUAACGUGUCCGGUCGGAGUGGGUUCAAGGCACACGUUGUAACGACACGCGUGUGAUGCCCUCACGUAACCCAGUCGAGCCCUGUGUGGAUCGCGCGGAAGAUGCUGUCCGGUGAGCGAAGCCAAUCGCGACCCGGGCCGGCCUGUUCGGAGGCAAGCAGCUAUCCGUUAGUGUGAAGCCGAUAACGACCCAGUCCGGCGUGUUAAGCCGAACACGACUCGGUCGGACCUGUGAGUCUUGUAAGGCCCUUCGGCUUGCGUCCGCCUCUAUGGCCGCCGUCGUGGGGGACGACAUUCUCUCUUGAACUCGGAAAACCGGACGCCCUCCCAUUCAUGGAGGAGAGAGGGCCGUCUAAGACCCGCUUGGCUUGACCUGUUGCACCGUCUACAGCCAUCUUCCGAGUGUGUGCAAUGGGAGAGAACGAAGCCCGCGAUUGGGGAAUUCGAGAUGCCCUCCCAUUUAUUGGGGCGUGGGGAGGUUUGUGUACUCCCAGACCAGCUCCGAGUCGUGCCGCCGUCUACUACCACAGACCUUUGUCUGAGACCGCUGGCCGAUGCCGUCGAGCACGUCACAAGUCAUCCUCGAAUUCACAUCCGUCCGUCUAUGACGGGCGCGGCCCACUACGGACGUGAGAGUUCGUUAACACGGGUCGCGAGCGUCCGUUAACACGGGCGUGAGCGUCCGUUACGGUACCGUCUUUCUCGAUAGACAAAGCCCUUUGGCACCCCUUCACAUACCACACCCGUGCAACUAUUGCCGCGGUGCAAGGCCCACGUUCGGUCCUUCCGCGCGUGUGAAGCCCUCUGCCCGCGGCGCCCUUACAAACCCCAUAAUGUCAGAACGUUGUCCCGAUAUAACAAUGAAAGAGUUUAAUAACAACUCUCAGCGACGGAUCUCUUGGCUCUCGCAUCGAUGAAGAACGCAGCGAAAUGCGAUAAGUAAUGUGAAUUGCAGAAUCCAGUGAAUCAUCGAACCUUUGAACGCACCUUGCGCCCCUCGGUAUUCCGAGGAGCAUGCCUGUUUGAGCGUCGCGGAACCCUCAACUCCGUCCGCCUUUGUUGGGGCGGGCUCGGAGCUUGGAAUUGGAGGCCCUUUGCCGCGCCUUUCCCUUCUACGAUCCGUAGACCGGGGGUGGCCGCGCGGCUCCUCCCAAACGCAUUAGCCCGGACCGGAUUGAAAAGGGAACCAUCGGACCGGCGUCGAUAGGGGCGUUCGCGCCCACGUCAACGCCGUUGAACGGGAACCCUAGAAAUCGUUAAGGUCGGCUUCUAAAAGGCGCGUCUCGUCGGGGGCGGGUCGGAUGGACAAACAGAUUAGAGCGGAUCGAAAAAGUACCUCGAUGUGAGGAGUUUGUAGGUUCCACCCCGAUAGCCGUUAUAGACGGAAUGCCACAGUGGGCGGGGACCGCUCCGAAAGGAAGAGGGAAAAUAAAAGAUCUCGACUCCGGUUUGGCGUCCCUCCUCCCUCCGCCGUCUCGAGGCGUCAGAAACCCUUUGACCUCAGAUCAGGCAGGACUACCCGCCGAACUUAAGCAUAUCAAUAAGCGGAGGA
rnacentral:rRNA from 1 species